GACGAACGCUGGCGGCGCGCCUAACACAUGCAAGUCGAACGAGCGAGCGAGAGCUUGCUUUCUCGAGCGAGUGGCGAACGGGUGAGUAACGCGUGAGGAACCUGCCUCAAAGUGGGGGACAACAGUUGGAAACGACUGCUAAUACCGCAUAAGCCCACGACCCGGCAGCGGGUAGUGGGAAAAGGGGCAAUCCGCUUUGGGAUGGCCUCGCGUCCGAUUAUCUAGUUGGUGAGGUAACGGCCCACCAAGGCGACGAUCGGUAGCCGGACGGAGAGGUUGAACGGCCACGUUGGGACUGAGGCACGGCCCAGACUCCUACGGGAGGGAGGAGUGGGGAAUAUUGCACGAUGGAGGAAAACCUGAUGCAGCGACGCCGCGUGGAGGAAGAAGGUCUUCGGAUUGUAAACUCCUGUUGUUGAGGAAGAUAGUGACGGUACUCAACAAGGAAGUGACGGCUAACUACGUG
rnacentral:rRNA from 1 species